rnacentral:rRNA from 1 species
AACGAACGCUGGCGGCAUGCCUAACACAUGCAAGUCGAACGAUUAUGGAACUAGCUUGCUAGUGCCCAGAUAGUGGCAGACGGGUGAGUAACGCGUGGGAAUCUACCUAGUAGUACGGAAUAGCCGUUGGAAACGACGAAUAAUACCGUAUAUUCCCUGAGGGGAAGAAUUUAUCGCUACUAGAUGAGCCCGCGUUAGAUUAGCUAGUUGGUAGGGUAAUGGCCUACCAAGGCAAUGAUCUAUAGCUGGUCUGAGAGGACGAUCAGCCACACUGGAACUGAGAUACGGUCCAGACUCCUACGGGAGGCAGCAGUGGGGAAUAUUGGACAAUGGGCGAAAGCCUGAUCCAGCAAUGCCGCGUGAAGUGAAGAAGGCCU